UGGAAACGGUGGCUAAUACCGCAUAGUGUCGCAAGACCAAAGUGGGGGACCUUCGGGCCUCACGCUACCGGAUGAACCCAUAUGGGAUUAUCUAUUUGGUGGGGUAACGGCUCACCAGGGCCACUAUCCCUAUCUGGUCUGAGAGGAUGACCAGCCACACUGGAACUGACACACGGUCCACACUCCUACGGGAGGCAGCAGUGGGGAAUAUUGCACAGUGGGCGCAAGCCUGAUGCACCCAUGCCGCGUGUAUGAAAAAGGCCUUCGGGUUGUAAAGUACUUUCCGCGGGGAAGAAGGGAUGAGGCUUAAUACUCUUCGUCUUUGACGUUACCCGCAAAAAAAGCACCGGCUAACUCCGUGCCAACACCCGCGGUAAUACAGAGGGUGCAAGCGUUAAUCAGAAUUAGUGGGCGUAAAGCGCACGCGGGCGGUCUGUUAACUCAGAUGUGAAAUCCCCGGGCUUAACCUGGGAACUGCUUUUGAAACUGGCGGGCUUGACUCUCGUAGAGGGGGGUAGAAUUCCGGGUGUA
rnacentral:rRNA from 1 species